CGGGCCGGGCCCCCCCUGCGGCGCCCGCAGACAGCCUGUGUCAGGGCCUCUGGGGACUAGACUGGCGCGCUGGUUCACACCGUCACCUGCUAUGGUACUUUGAUGUCUACUGAACUAUUCCUGACAAAUAUCUUACAAAGGUGUGUAAACAGAAUAUGCAUGCACGCUGUUUAUAAGAAGCACCAAAAACACUUGAGAGAGAUUGUGCUGUAUCAGAGAAAUGAAGUUGCAGGUAGUCUGAGGUUCAUUGCUGUUGGAGUCUGCCCUUUCAGCACUACCUUCUCCCCGAAGACCUGCAGCUUGUCUCAAAAGUACAACCUUGUAGAUGUUACAACCCUAAGGCUAUAAGUACAAGCCAGAGCUAGAACUGAAAGCAAUUCAGAAUCCUCCUUUUCCUCUUCCCAACAGUGAUUAAAGAAACCCAUUCCCUUUAUGUACAAGACUGUACAGCUCUCCCUCAGUUCUGAUCUGGAAAAAGUAGAUCUACAGUAACAGCCAGUACAAUUGUCAUUUUUAUAUUAGCUGCAUCAGGCUAGAAGCUGUCCCCUGGAUGUUUGAUGCCCUGGGGAACAGCCUGAAGAAAGAAAAAAAGCAUUAGGAGUCUUUUUCCACUGCAGGAAGUGACAGGAUUAGGAGCCUAAGGACAGAAUCCAGCUACCCCACAGCCCCCAUUUCCCUCAAAUUCCUGACCAUUUGUGCAGAUGGCAGCAUCUUCUAGCUGAGGAUGCAUGCUGCUCCUUUGCAGAGGAGCAGCAGUGCAUGGGAUACAAUACAUGCACUGGUCCUGAUGGAAUCCUGCAUCUCCCAGUAUUGCCACUAUCCUCUCCCAGUAUCAGAAAAAGCCGGAGUCGUUGUACAGUACGCUGUUCAAAUACUUGCUGAGCUAGUUGAUUUGGAAUAUGUUCAAGUCAAUUUGCGACUCAUCCCAUUUUCAGAGUGCAGCAGGAGUAUUAUUGUAUCUCUACACUUUAGUUGUGUUUGGCUAAAAGUACAGAAUUUUUUUAAUUUCAGCACUCUGUGAUUACGUGAUGUGUGAGCUGCUAGCUAAUCAUGCAACUGUGCAGCAGUAGUUCAUAUUUCUCCAUGAGAUCAGCAAGAAGCCUGCUCAAACAUAUUAAGAAGCAUGAAAAUUCCAGACAGUUCCUAUUUGCCAUCUUCCAGGUAUAAAGACCAUACAAAACUAUGGCAUAAACAUCACUAGAUUAAUGUAAUAGUACAUACGAUGGGAUUCACGGCUGCUUAAGUUGCUCAGUGGUCUAGUGCUGGUUGUACUACUUAGACUUUCAGAAACCACAUAUUCAUAUCUAACUCAGGCCUCUUUCCUGCUACAGUAACUAAACUGAGUUUCAUGCAGUUCACUCUCUUUUGCAAAUAAAUCCUUAAAAAAAUAAAAUGCUGGCUGCAAUGCAUGGACACUAAUGAUCCCAGGACAGUGACCAGGAAUUUUACCCAGGACCACAAGCUAAUCGUUUUCCUCCUGUUACUCCUAUCCUUUAGCAUGCACCAUAGCAACUGGUACGCUGACAGUUACAAUUUGGUAGUGUUAUUAUGGGGAAGUGGUAGUAACCCUUCUAUUUAAGAUUGCCAAACACUUCCCAUUAUAAUUUUUACCUCCAACUGGCAUCUGUUGGUAUUUUUCUGAGCUCUAAGGUCCUCUAUGACUUUUAGUAGGGACUUGAUAUUAUAGAACUGGGGAAAUCUUUUAAAUGAUAGGUGCAUGUUUGAAUUCAGACAGAUUAAAUUUCAGAACAAGACACCAAUUUCUACAUAAUUCCUAAUAAAUGUAUUGUUUUAAUAGGCAUCAUACAACAGACGUGUGAAAAGUCAUGUAAUCUGAGCCUAACUUGGAAAUAAGCAGGAAUCUGAAGUGACUAUUGAUCAGUUUUUAUUUUGUCUUACUUUACAAAACUUGUAUCUUAGAAAAUGGCUACAGACUUCAACAGAACAAUCAGCAGUAGCCUACUGUAGAUAAUGUAUGCAUGGCUGGGAUCUAUUUACAAAAUAGAUUAACGGUGACAAAGCCUGGAGGAGAUGGAACUCUUAGUGAGAGUGUAUUGCAGCAGAGCUAUCCAAUAACAAGGAGUGUCACAUGUGAAAGGAUCAUCCUUGUGAAGAAGCAGCCACUACCCCAUUGUUAGAACUACAUGGUAAGGAAACAGUGUAUGAACAGAGUGGGUUUAACAAGUGAAGAGAGAGCAGAAUGAAGGGGGUGUGUGUGUGUUCCUUUUCUUAGGUAACAAAUCAAAGAAACGUCUGCAUAGAUGUUCUGCAAAGGAUAUAUGAACAGACUGAAGAAUCUUUGUUUUAGAACUCUCCUUCUGAAGAUCCCGUUUAUUCUAUUUUGAGGUUUAAGAUUACCCCUACAAUAAAGCUUCAGUGGUGUUUUUACAAAAUUGUUUGAUAUGCUUUCCUGUCCCUUUUUUACUGCUGUAAGUGAUGCCACACAUCUAUUUCAAAUUGAUUUAUAUGGCC